GAGGGUAUAGCUCAGCGGUAGAGUACAUGCCUCACGUGCAUGAGGUCCUGAGUUCAAUCCCCAGUAUCGCCA
rfam:Camelus ferus unplaced genomic scaffold scaffold37268, whole genome shotgun sequence.